ensembl:lncRNA
CUGACGUGUUGCUGGGAAUUGAACUUGGGUCUUCUGGGAAAGCAGCCAGUGCCCCUAAUCAAUGAGUCAUCACCUCUCUAGCCCUCACCAUUUUACAUUUUUUUUUUUUGGUGUCACAUUUCUAGCUGGAAGAUUAGGGGUUAACUUCAAAACAAAACAGAAACAAAAUGAACAACAACAACAACAACAGCAGCAGCAGCAGCAGCAGCAACAACAGCAACAAACCCUCCAGAAUUUUCAAUGUUCCAUUUGACCUGGAGGAAUAGAGAGAAUCCUGACAUUGAGGUCAUGAAACUGUGCUUUGGAAUUUCUGCCCAGAUGCUGUUGUCUUUAUCUACAAUAUCAAAGAAUCCUCAGCCCUUCAAAAGCCAGAGUUUCUGACCUUGAAGAGGAAUCUGCCCAUGACAACUGCACACCUUGGUACUGACAUGGAUCUGGGUUUUAGAACAUCCCUUUCUUUAAAGGAUUCACCACCUCAUACUUUGGAAGGUGGCACUCCGAUUGGAUAGAAGUUUGAGCCAAAAGUUGGAUGCAUAAUUCAACUAUUUAUAAACAUAUUUGUAGGUAAUUUUACUUUUUAUUGUCAGAUUAAAUAAACCAACAAGCU